UUGUAUUUGCAGAAGGUGCUUCGGGUGCGGCCGCGGUGCAGGUCAUUGGAACUGGGCGUCAUAGAGGGUGAGAAUCCCGUACGCGACCGACCGCCAAUCCCGUGUGAAGCCCUUUCGACGAGUCGAGUUGUUUGGGAAUGCAGCUCUAAUUGGGUGGUAAAUUUCAUCUAAAGCUAAAUACAUCGCCAGAGACCGAUAGUAAACAAGUAGAGUGAUCGAAAGAUGAAAAGCACUUUGAAAAGAGAGUCAAAAGUACGUGAAAUUGUUGAAAGGGAAGCGCUCGCAACCAGACUCGCUCGCGGGUGCUCAGUCGUCCCUCGGGGCGGUGCACUCUCCCGCGAUCGGGCCAGCAUCGGUUCUGGCGGCCGGACAAAGGCCCUGGGAACGUAGCUUCCUUCGGGGAGUGUUAUAGCCCGGGGUGCAAUGCGGCCAGCUGGGACCGAGGACCGCGCUUCUGCUAGGAUGCUGGCGUNAAUGGUUGCAAGCGACCCGUCUUGAAACACGGACCGAGGAGUCGACCAACCGUGCGAGUGUUUGGGUGUCAAACCCAUGCGCGCAAUGAAAGUAAACGGAGGUGGGAGCCCCCGGGCGCACCAUCGACCGAUCCUGAUGUCUUCGGAUGGAUUUGAGUAUGAGCCCGGCUGGUCGGACCCGAAAGGUAAGUUUUUUGAGCCCACUAGCGGUGAUCAUGGAUCAACUAACGAUUUAGAUAGUGAUCUAUACGUGAAUAGGGUGAAGCCAGAGGAAACUCUGGUGGAGGCUCGCAGCGGUUCUGACGUGCAAAUCGAUCGUCAAAUUUGCGUAUAGGGGCGAAAGACUAAUCGAACUAUCUAGGUAAGCUGACUCGGCUCUCUUAUAUCCACAUCAUAGCUAACUUUUUCUACAGUAGCUGGUUCCUGUCGAAGUUUCCCUCAGGAUAGCAGUAACGAAUAAACAGUCUCAUGAGGUAGAGCGAACGAUUAGAGGCCUUGGGGUUGAAACAACCUUAACCUUUCUCCA
rnacentral:rRNA from 1 species